UACGUAGGGUGCAAGCGUUGUCCGGAAUUAUUGGGCGUAAAGAGCUCGUAGGCGGUUUGUCGCGUCGAAUGUGAAAACCCGGGGCUCAACCCCGGGCCUGCAUUCGAUACGGGCAGACUAGAGUUCGGUAGGGGAGUCUGGAAUUCCUGGUGUAGCGGUGAAAUGCGCAGAUAUCAGGAGGAACACCGGUGGCGAAGGCGGGACUCUGGGCAUUAACUGACGCUGAGGAGCGAAAGCAUGGGGAGCGAACAGG
rnacentral:rRNA from 1 species